rnacentral:rRNA from 1 species
UACGUAGGGUGCGAGCGUUAAUCGGAAUUACUGGGGCGUAAAGCGUGCGCAGGCGGUUAUUUAAGUCAGGUGUGAAAGCCCUGGGCUUAACCUAGGAAUUGCGCUUGAGACUGGAUAGCUUGGAGUGCGGCAGAGGGAGGUGGAAUUCCACGUGUAGCAGUGAAAUGCGUAGAGAUGUGGAGGAACACCGAUGGCGAAGGCAGCCUCCUGGGCCAGCACUGACGCUCAUGCACGAAAGCGUGGGGAGCAAACAGG